AUCUUUCUUCUUUGACCUUCCCCAGGCCCAAUACUUUUUUAAUCACUAGCGUGGAAUCUUGAUAAACAGUAAUUUUGCAAAUACCCCGUGCUAUUGCGGUUUCUAGACCCAAGAUACAAGCCUCGUUGUUAGUUGCCUUGUAACCUAAUUUAUAGGCUACCGGCAAGCGGGCCCCAUCAGGUGAAACUACCACCACUCCAAUGAUCCACACUUGUUGGCGGCACCAUCGAAGUAUAAUCUCCACCCUUCCUCCUCCAUACAUUGCACGCUUUCGUCGGGGAAGCCUGGUUCAAAAUGUUCAACCC
rnacentral:lncRNA from 1 species